AAACGAUUGAAGUCAGUCGUACCGGUGGGUAAUCAGCCUUUUGGGUGUGAUUAUGUGGAGCGUGAGGAGCUAAUCACCUUCAUGCCUGCAUAUUCGUGCACUUUGGGUGUACUUGCUCGUGUGGUAGGUUAACAUCAAUUUUGGUCGUCAUAAAAUGGUUGGAGGAAUGUAGCUUCGAUCUCGUAUUGAAGUGUUAUAGCCUUUGGCAGAUGUGAUGAUUGGGAUUGAGGAUUGCAACGAACCCUUCGGGGCUACCUGUCUGAUCUCUGAGAGUUGCUCUGGUG
rnacentral:rRNA from 1 species